rnacentral:rRNA from 1 species
AAAUUGAAGAGUUUGAUCAUGGCUCAGAUUGAACGCUGGCGGCAGGCCUAACACAUGCAAGUCGAACGGUAGCACAGAGAGCUUGCUCUCGGGUGACGAGUGGCGGACGGGUGAGUAAUGUCUGGGAAACUGCCCGAUGGAGGGGGAUAACUACUGGAAACGGUAGCUAAUACCGCAUAACGUCGCAAGACCAAAGUGGGGGACCUUCGGGCCUCACACCAUCGGAUGUGCCCAGAUGGGAUUAGCUAGUAGGUGGGGUAACGGCUCACCUAGGCGACGAUCCCUAGCUGGUCUGAGAGGAUGACCAGCCACACUGGAACUGAGACACGGUCCAGACUCCUACGGGAGGCAGCAGUGGGGAAUAUUGCACAAUGGGCGCAAGCCUGAUGCAGCCAUGCCGCGUGUAUGAAGAAGGCCUUCGGGUUGUAAAGUACUUUCAGCGAGGAGGAAGGCGUUGUGGUUAAUAACCACAGCGAUUGACGU